ACCUUGGUGACCACUUUACCACAAUGAAUGAACUUCAUGAGGCUUUAAGGGAUUUAUGCUUGCUGGUUAAUAACAUAAUUAACCCUCCUGUGUGCAACCCAGUUUCUCUGUCUUUGGUACAAACAAGGGGACGGCCAAGGUAUCAUAUAACUGUUGGACAGCAUUCCCAGUUGAGGGAAACUGGGAUGUUGUGGAUUUCCAUCGCAGACAUUCUUGGUAUCAGUUUGUCAACUCUUUCUCGGAGAAGAGAUAUGUUUGGAUUAGUUGAAAAUUAUGAUGCCAUCCCAAACAGUCAGCUGGAUGAAAUAAUCAGAGAUAUCACUGCACACACUGCAAAUGCUGGUGAGAGACUGGUUCAAGGUAGUAUUCGAGGAAGGGGAUACAGAGUUCAAAGACAUAGGGUCAGAGAGAGGAUGCGUAUUAUUGAUCCAGCAGGAACUCUGAUUCGACGAAGACGUGUCAUCAGAAGAAGAGUGUACAGUGUCAGAGGAUCAAACCACUUAUGACAUAUAGACUCUAACCAUAAACUGAUUGCAUGGAGAUUUGUUCUUCAUGGCUGCAUCGAUGGAUUCAGCAGAACAGUUAUUUAUUUGAGUUGUGCCUCAAACAAUCGUGCUGCAACAGUACUGUCUUUUUUUCAGAUUGGAGUCUCCCAAUUUGGUUUGCCAUUAAGAGUAAGGGGAGACAGGGGCCGUGAAAAUGCACGUGUUGCACAGUACAUGAUUGAAAGAAGAGGAACAGACCGGGGAAGCUUUAUUGUGGGAAGGAGUGUGCAUAACUAAAGGAUUGAACGUCUCUGGGGACAUGUGAACAGGGUUGUGUCAGACUUUUAUAGGCAGCUUUUUCAGUACAUGGAAUAUGUGGACAUUCUACACCCAGAUAAUGAGAUGCAUUUAUGGUCCCUCAACUACAUCUUCCUUAGGAGAAUUCAACGGUCAUGUGAUGAAUUUAUCAGACAAUGGAAUUAUCACAGUAUGAGAACAGAGGGUGGCAUGAGUCCACUAGCAUUGUGGAAUUCUGGUAUGGUAAUUGAGCCAAAUAUUGUCCUUAAUGUCUCUGACAUAGAUGACUAUAGUAUUAACUUUAAUAAUGUUAAUGAGAAUAUGACACAGAUCAACACUGUACCAGAAAACACUUUCAGUGUAAGCACUGCAGAUACUGAUUACCUUCAAACAUUAUUGAAUCCCUUAUCAGAUGAUGGGAAUAAUGGGAUACAACACUACUUGACUGUUUUGGACUAUUUGUCAUCACAAUACACAUAGCAAGAAUCCAGACACAUGCUUGUUAUUUUCAAGAUUAUCUUUAUCUACAAACUAACUUUGAAAAACAGAACUGUUUUUAAUAAAUCUGUUUAUACAGUGCAUCUUUCAAGUUUCAAAUGUUUUAAUCCACAAUGAAUAAUUAUUGAAAAAACUACACUUUGAAUACACGUUGUACUUUAAGCCAAAAGUAGCUUUUUAAAACAUGCAUUUUUUGCUUUCCAUAACAAUAAUUGUCAUUUAAACAUUAUUAAACAUAAUAUAAUAUAA